rnacentral:tRNA from 1 species
GCCGGAGUGGCGGAAUGGUAUACGCGAACGACUCAAAAUCGUUUGGGAGCAAUCUCGUGUGGGUUCAAGUCCCACCUCCGGCACCA